AACAAAUUUAAACGCUUCCAUUUUGAAAAGAAAAGGGGAAUGAAAGAUGGGCACGAUCGUUUGUCAAGACUGCAAUGAAACCAUUCAGCAUUUUGAAGAUGAGAAAGUGACGAUACUUUACGGAACGUGCGGACAGUGCAACUGCCAUCUUAAAGAGGAAGAAUAGAAAAAAGCAUGCGGCCAUUUACAGUGCCGCAUGCUUUUAU
rnacentral:sRNA from 15 species